GAGGAUCCAGGAGGCAGAGCGCUGACGGCUGCACACGGUGAACGUGCAGUAUUGACUGGAACUGCCCCCCAGAACCUCACAGAAAGGGGUGCACGCAGUGAACACGCGCUAAUUUCCGGAAUGCCCCCCAGAACCCGCCGGCAGGGGGUAGGAGAGCUGGAACAGAAACCCGGUCAGAGGGGAGGGAAGUGUCUUCAGGGCACUCCCACUCCGACCCAGAGGGAGGCUUGCCCCCGCAGCAGGCCUCCAAAAGGCCAGGAAAGCAGGGGGUAGCAGUCUUCCUCUCAAGGGUUGCCUGUUAUCAGCGCGUCACACUGAAGCUGAGACAGGGGAACUAGGAGCGCUCCGAUCCUUUCACCUGUGAGUACCCAAAUCCGCUAUUUAAGAAGCCCAGGUAUUUUACUGCAGAGGUUACAUUGAGGACUGAAAGUUAACACGGCGCCUGGAUUCUGACGGAAGGAGAUCUAGAGGCGAUGGCCUUUGUUAGCGAGCAUGCCGCCCGGGGGAGAAAGCAGGAGGCCCCGCCAGGCCGGGCCCACCCCUCGGCCGUGUUCCCCGAGGGACGCGCCGACCAGGCCGCUGGUUCCGGAAGCUGGGCUCCACAAGGAUGCGUGAGCUUCGUGAGUGAGGACACGGGGCCUGUGAGCCCAGAGGGGCGGUAGUUAAGGGGGCGGAGCCUGGGAAACCCCGCGGAAGGCGGAGCAGUUGGCAGGGCGCAGGGAUCCCAGGGACCCGAGCCCUGCCCGGGAGGCGCCCCCACCCAGCUGUCUUCGGCCCUGCGUGCCCAGCCCCUGGGAGGCCUCGGGCAGCCCCCAACGCGCCCCUGGCUCUCCUGGCCCCCUCCAAGCUCACCACCCUGUUCCACCCUGUUCCUCCUGGCUCCCCUGGGGCUGGCGGGACCCUCCCCAGAGCUUUGUCCAGAGACGCAGCCGACUGUGAACAGAGCCUUGAAGCUCCGUGUGGACCCGUGAGAAGCCCGUUUUCUGAUUGUCAGCUCCCCCCAGGGCUGAAGACGCACUUGGCCCGUGCAGCGCCGGCCCGGCCGGCUCCUCGGGAGGUGAAGCUGGUGUGGGUUUCCCGCACCCAGAUGCGUCUCCUGGAGCCGAGCCCUUCCAGCCUCAUGUGUGAUAUUUGGAGCAUCAGAGGGGCGGGCUGUAAAAGUGCCCCAGCUCCACGUCUGAGAAGGAGGGCGGGGGCAGCUGAGACCCCAGGCACUCGGCCUUUCACACCUGAGCACUAGCGCCGGAUCCAGGUUCUCUGGGGUCACCAGGCCCCACCGCAGGAGCUGCGCUUUCCCCAGAGUCCGGGGAGGGCCAGGCCUGGGCCCAGAGCUGAGAGCGAGAGUGGGCAGGGCGAUCCCGGGAUCCAGAGGAGCCACUGGGCUGCAGAGCCCGCCAGGGCCAGGUGUCUGCCUGCAACACCGUCUCCACCGGGACUGUUCCCCGGGGGCCUGUGCUGUCUGUCCACUCUCUGCUCUGCAAGCUCAACCCUCGUCACUGCCCAGUGGACGAGGAAGGUUCCCGAGAGCCUCCACCACCAGACUCCAGCAGCCUCGCCUGCAGACCAGCUUCUCUGAGCAGUCCGGUCCGUGUAUCACCACUGAAGCAGUGAAGGACCCCCUGGACAGCCAGGGUGCCCAUAGGGCCCGGGAGGUCAUCUGCCCGGGAGUCCCAGCCGUACCUCGGGAGCCUGGGCACGAGCCAGUGGGAGGGCCCGUAGCUGCCAGCAGAGCCCCGACUUCCUGGGGGCCCACCCCCCACCUCCACCUGGAGCUGCAGCCAAACCCAGCCCAGCCCAGCCAGGGGCCCAGCGCCCAGGCAGUGGUCCUCCAGUCAACAGGACGUGCUUCCGGCCCCAGACCUGGCCCAGGCGUCCCUCACUAGAGACAUGCAGCUCUCCUGUGGACCCCCGAGAGCCACACGGACGGCCAGCCCGCAGCCGCGAGGGCGGAUUCUGAACUGGGAAGACAUCCCUGCCUUUGAUGAGGACUCGGCCCCCCUCCACCCUCCACAGCAGGGAGGCUCCCAAUGAGGAGAGACCCCCCACUGCCACCCCCGCGGCGGUCACAGCCACACCAGGGGACCUUCUCUGAGCCGCUCUGCGCUGUGGCCGCCAGAGGCCAGGAACCCUCCACAGGCUGCUCGGACCAAGGAAACGCAGCCCGAGGGCUGGGAUCACUGCAGGGCGUGUUCCGGGCUAUUUUAAACUGAAUGGUGGGUACUUUCUAUAGAAGGAACAGGCGUUGACUCUUCUCUUGCUCCAUGGUUUCUGCCACUAAUGAUGAAAUCUGUCUUCAAAAAUCUAAGAAAAAAAUCUAAUAAAACUCAGUAAUAA